rnacentral:rRNA from 1 species
GACAGAGGCCCCGAGCGUUAGGCGGAAUCACUGGGCUUAAAGCGUGUGUAGGCGGGCCCGUAAGUACCUUGUGAAAUCCCACGGCUCAACCGUGGAACGGCUGGGUAUACUGCGGGUCUUGGGCCAACUAGGGGCAGCCGGAACAAGCGGUGGAGCGGUGAAAUGCGUAGAUAUCGCUUGGAACGCCGAAGGUGAAAACAGGCUGCUGGGGUUGCGCC